UUAGUAUUAUUGAUUACAGUUUCAUAGAUGUAGUUGCAAAGUGGCCAGGUUCGCAGCAUGAUGCUUCCAUUUUCAACACCUGUGGUCUAAAGGAACACCUGGAAAGAACACAUGCAGGAAUUUUGCUUGGGGAUAGCGGAUAUGGCCUGAGAAGAUAUCUUCUCACACCUAAACAAAAUCCCAUGACAGAGUCUGAAAGGCGUUACAAUAAUUACCAUGCCAGGGGAAGAGUGGUUAUUGAAAGAGCGUUUGGUGUGCUGAAAUCUAGAUUUCGAUGCCUACACAAAUCUGGUGGUGUACUUCCAUUCAACCCUACAAAAAGUUCUCAUGUUGUUGUGGCCUGUAUGAAGCUGCAUAAUCUGUGCAUAACGUUCAACGUGAAGGAACCACAAGAUGCAGUCCAUGUGAAUGAGCUGGCAAAUGAGGAUGUCUUAAAUGAGCAUGAUGACAAUGCGCAUUCAUUUAGACAGGCAAUCAUUAACAUGUUUUGAAUGACUGGUUAUAAGCACGUUGUAAUUUUGUAUAGCUGUAGUUAAACAAUUCAAUUCAAAUUGAUAUGAACUGUUUUGUUUACAUAAAAGUUUACUGUAUUUAUGCCCCCCUUCGAAGAAGAGGGGGUAUAUUGUUUUACACAUGUCGGUCGGUCCGUCCACCAGAUGGUUUCCGGAUGAUAACUCAAGAACGCUUAGGUCUAGGAUCAUGGAACUUCAUAGGUACAUUACUCAUGCCUGGCAGAUGACCCCUAUUGAUUUUUAGGUCACUAGGUCAAAACGUAAAGGUUACAGUGACUCGAAAUAGCAAAAUGGUUUCUGGAUGAUAACUAUAGAAUGCUAACGCCUAGGAUCAUGAAACUUCAUAGGAACAUAGAAUAUGAUUGGGCAGAUGACCCCUAUUGAGUGUCAGGUCACUAGGUCAAAGGUCAAGGUCACAGUGACUCGAAACAGUAAAAUGGUUUCCGGAUGAUAACUCAUUAAUGCUUACGGCUAGGAUCAUGAAACUUCAUAGGUACAUUGAUCAUGACUGGCAGAUGACCCCUAUUGAUUUUCAGGUCACUAGUUCAAGUUCACAGCGACUUGAAAGAGUAUAAUGCUUUUCUGAUCAUAACUCAACAAUAAUUAGGUCUAGGAUCAAGAAUAUUCAUAGGUGAAUUGAUCAUGACUGGCAGAUGACCCCUAUUGAUUUUCAGGUCACUAGGUUAAACAAAUUAUUCAAACAAUGGCUGCCACUACAACUGACAGCCCAUAUGGGGGGCAUGCAUGAUUUACAAACAGCCAUUGUUAUAGUUACACAUUUUUCAAAUGACCUUUCAAAAUAUGACAUUUAGUUAUUAACUUAUAAUGAGUGAUCUUGUGAUAAAAAAAGAGUUGCCAUUUUUUUAUUUAAAAGUAUUAUGCCAGCAAAUAUAUAACUUUAAACCAUAA